UCUCGGUCUCAUAUAGCCUCUGCCAUUAGAAAUUAUGACUUUGAGCCAUAUCCAGACACCAAUACAAUACAGAUGGCAAAGGAUAGAACACUUUCCUGGAUAGAGCAUUAGGCUGCUUGAAGAUCUUCACAAGCUGGUGGUUUCUGAGCAGUCAACCCAGGGGUGAACUCAAACUGACUGACUGAAACCUGCCUUCAUCUGCAUCAUCUGCUUGCUUUUUGGGUGAAGACUUCAUCUUGAAAAGCCACUUCCUAUGGUGAAAAACAGGAGAGAGUUAUGCUUUCAAACUGUAGAGAAGGCAAAUAUUUUGGAUUCUGGCUUCUGUAUUUCUGCAGAGAUUUGUGUGAUCUCACUGAAUGCUGAGUGCUUGUGAAGACACUGAAGAUAUCCUUUGCCGAUACUUGUAAGUACUUCCUGGAGUUUAAUGGUCAAAUUUUGUAAGAGAUAUCUCAUCAGUACUUGUCCCAUCUCUUCCCUAAGUGAUUGCAUCGGAUGAGCAGAAAAGGAUGGAUAAUUGCCUAUUGGAUUCCGGUGCUCUGAUUUCACCCCUCCUUACCCAAGUGGGGAAGUCGAGUCUUGCUGUUCCUGUGUGCCCACAACUGAGGAGCACUGCCUCCAUAAGUGACCCUACUGAAGCUCCAGUAGGAAAGAAUACACCUCACCCAUAA
rnacentral:lncRNA from 13 species